UACGUAGGGGGCGAGCGUUGUCCGGAUUUACUGGGUGUAAAGGGCGCGUAGGCGGAUCUGUAAGUCAGAGGUGAAAUCCUGCGGCUUAACCGUAGAACUGCGUUUGAUACUGCAGAUCUUGAGUUCGGAAGAGGGGAGCGGAAUUCCAGGUGUAGUGGUGAAAUACGUAGAUAUCUGGAAGAACACCAGUGGCGAAGGCGGCUACUUGGUUCGCAACUGACGCUGAGGCGCGAAAGCGUGGGGAGCAAACAGG
rnacentral:rRNA from 1 species